rnacentral:rRNA from 1 species
GAUGCUAUUUCUAGAGAUAGAAAGUUACUUCGGUACAUCGGUGACAGGUGGUGCAUGGUUGUCGUCAGCUCGUGUCGUGAGAUGUUGGUUAAGUCCCGCAACGAGCGCAACCCCUAUUGUUAGUUGCCAUCAUUCAGUUGGGCACUCUAGCGAGACUGCCGGUAAUAAACCGGAGGAAGGUGGGAUGACGUCAAAUCAUCAUGCCCCUUAUGACCUGGGCUACACACGUGCUACAAUGGUUGGUACAACGAGUUGCGAGUCGGUGACGGCGAGCUAAUCUCUUAAAGCCAAUCUCAGUUCGGAUUGUAGGCUGCAACUCGCCUACAUGAAGUCGGAAUCGCUAGUAAUCGCGGAUCAGCACGCCGCGGUGAAUACGUUCCCGGGCCUU